rnacentral:tRNA from 1 species
AAUGGAGUGCCUGAAUAAAGGGUUAUCUUGAUAGGGUAAAUCAAGUAAUUUAAAAAUUACCUCCGUUA